GCUUCAUUCUUCUGGAACAGCAGUUCUGUGUGAGUCGAACAUCUUUUGUCUAGGUUUCAGUCAUCAGCAACUUCAUUCAUUAUGCAGACGAUGAAAGAGACAUUCAGAGAGGUUAAAUAAUUUGCUCGUGUAUACACAACCAGUAAAUUGCAGAGCCAGACUAAUGACAAAAGUAGAGGAUCACUGACUGCUGGGUGAAAAUAUGGAAGGUAAAUAUGAGCACCCCCACUUAAUCCUUAGCAGUAUGAUAAGUAAAAUUUAGAGUUGCAGAAUAAAUGCAUUACGUUAACAUCAUAAACUUAUAACUAAUUUUAUUAGUAUCUACCAAUACAUAUUGUAUACAUGAUAUGUAAAAACAUAUGUAUAUAUAUAAUAUAUGAUAUUUUAUCAGUCAUGAUUUCAGGAUAGUAUAUUUAUAUAGUAAACUUACUGUUCCCUCAAUAUGGUAAGAUCUUCAAAUACAGUUAUACAUUAAAUACUUUUUGAGCACUCCACGUGAAUCAGAAAUCACUGUGUUCAGUCAAAAAUGAGUUAAAUAGGUCAACAAAUGGUUGUCCUCUAUAGUCCUCUCAUCUUAAGUGCAAAGAAAAUGGCAUGAAAAGGCACUAAAGCCAAAACAGUGAUUCUCAACCCUAGCUUCCCAUCAGAAUUACCUAGAAAGCUUUAAAUUCUAUGCGUGGGUCCCACCCUCAGAUAUUUUUAAUUAAUUGGUUUGAAAUCUGUCUUGGGCAUUGAGGAGUUUUUAAAAGCUUUCUCAAUUAUUUCAAUUUGCAGCCAAGAUUUCUUCAAUGAAUGGUACUCAAACUUGUCUGCAUGUUUUAAUGACACAGCGAGCCUUUAGGUAAAUAUGUUCGUGACCAGACUACAUCCCACGUAAAAGGGGUCUGGUGGAGGGGGUGAGGUUGAGCAGUCUUAAAGCUCCCCAGCUGUUACUGGAAAGGGGUCCCAAUCCAGACCCUAAGAAAGAGGGUUCUUGGGCCUCACAAAGAAUUCACUGUGAGUCCAUAGAGUAAAGCUGAAAGCAAGUUUCUUAAGAAAGUAAAGGAAUAGAGUGGCUACUCCACAGGCAGGCCUGCAGCAUGGGCUGCUCGACUGAGUAUACUUAUAGUUAUUUCUUGAUUAUGUGCUCAACAGGGGGUGAAUUAUUCAAUGAGUUUUCUGGGAAAGGGGCAGGCAAUUCCCUGAACUGAGGGUUCCUCCCCUUUUUAGACCAUAUAAGGUAACU